rnacentral:rRNA from 1 species
GGGGGCCCGCAAGCGGUGGAGCAUGUGGUUUAAUUUGAUGCAACGCGAAAAACCUUACCUGGUCUUGACAUCCAUAGAAUUCUUUAGAAAUAAAGAAGUGCCUUAGGGAACUAUGAGACAGGUGCUGCAUGGCUGUCGUCAGCUCGUGUUGUGAAAUGUUGGGUUAAGUCCCGCAACGAGCGCAACCCUUAUCCUUUUUUGCCAUCGGUUAGGCCGGGAACUAAAAGGAGACUGCCAGUUAUAAACUGGAGGAAGGUGGGACGACGUCAAGUCAUCAUGGCCCUUACGACCAGGGCUACACACGUGCUACAAUGGUACAUACAAAGAGAAGCAACUCUGCAAAGACAAGCAAAUCUCAUAAAGUGUAUCUUAGUCCGGACUGGAGUCUGCAACUCGACUCCACGAAGUCGGAAUCGCUAGUAAUCGUGAAUCAGAAUGUCACGGUGAAUACGUUCCCGGGCCUUGUACACACC